CUAACACAUGCAAGCCGAGCGGUAGAGAUCUUUCGGGAUCUUGAGAGCGGCGUACGGGUGCGGAACACGUGUGCAACCUGCCUUUAUCUGGGGGAUAGCCUUUCGAAAGGAAGAUUAAUACCCCAUAAUAUACUGAAUGGCAUCAUUCGGUAUUGAAAACUCCGGUGGAUAGAGAUGGGCACGCGCAAGAUUAGAUAGUUGGUGAGGUAACGGCUCACCAAGUCUGCGAUCUUUAGGGGGCCUGAGAGGGUGAUCCCCCACACUGGUACUGAGACACGGACCAGACUCCUACGGGAGGCAGCAGUGAGGAAUAUUGGACAAUGGGUGAGAGCCUGAUCCAGCCAUCCCGCGUGAAGGACGACGGCCCUAUGGGUUGUAAACUUCUUUUGUAUAGGGAUAAACCUACCCUCGUGAGGGUAGCUGAAGGUACUAUACGAAUAAGCACCGGCUAACUCCGUGCCAGCAGCCGCGGUAAUACGGAGGGUGCAAGCGUUAUCCGGAUUUAUUGGGUUUAAAGGGUCCGUAGGCGGAUCUGUAAGUCAGUGGUGAAAUCUCACAGCUUAACUGUGAAACUGCCAUUGAUACUGCAGGUCUUGAGUGUUGUUGAAGUAGCUGGAAUAAGUAGUGUAGCGGUGAAAUGCAUAGAUAUUACUUAGAACACCAAUUGCGAAGGCAGGUUACUAAGCAACAACUGACGCUGAUGGACGAAAGCGUGGGGAGCGAACAGGAUUAGAUACCCUGGUAGUCCACGCCGUAAACGAUGCUAACUCGUUUUUGGAAUGUAAGUUUCAGAGACUAAGCGAAAGUGAUAAGUUAGCCACCUGGGGAGUACGAACGCAAGUUUGAAACUCAAAGGAAUUGACGGGGGCCCGCACAAGCGGUGGAUUAUGUGGUUUAAUUCGAUGAUACGCGAGGAACCUUACCAAGGCUUAAAUGGGAAAUGACAGGUUUAGAAAUAGACUUUUCUUCGGACAUUUUUCAAGGUGCUGCAUGGUUGUCGUCAGCUCGUGCCGUGAGGUGUUAGGUUAAGUCCUGCAACGAGCGCAACCCCUGUCACUAGUUGCCAUCAUUAAGUUGGGGACUCUAGUGAGACUGCCUACGCAAGUAGAGAGGAAGGUGGGGAUGACGUCAAAUCAUCACGGCCCUUACGCCUUGGGCCACACACGUAAUACAAUGGCCGGUACAGAGGGCAGCUACACUGCGAAGUGAUGCAAAUCUCGAAAGCCGGUCUCAGUUCGGAUUGGAGUCUGCAACUCGACUCUAUGAAGCUGGAAUCGCUAGUAAUCGCGCAUCAGCCAUGGCGCGGUGAAUACGUUCCCGGGCCUUGUACACACCGCCCGUCAAGCCAUGGAAGUCUGGGGUACCUGAAGUCGGUGACC
rnacentral:rRNA from 1 species